rnacentral:snoRNA from 1 species
AAGGCGCUGCUUCACAUUUCAAUAUGUUCAUUGUAGGUCUGUAGUCCUGAUAGUGCCUAUGGAGUAUUUCCUAUGGCCUUCUGUCUCUAUUUAUGGAGAGAACACAUGAUCAACGACCAUGCAUGGCGAAGGAAGUUUUAAGAUGCCUAGAGUUGGAAGUUCCUAUUAAAACGCCCUUUUCGCUAACAACAGCUGCUUUCUUACAGCUUGUGGUUUGAUAGUAGGUGGGCGGAAAUUA